UACAGGGGGUGCAAACGUUGCUCGGAAUCAUUGGGCGUAAAGCGCACGUAGGCGGUUCGUUAUGUCGGAUGUGAAAGCCCUUGGCUUAACCGAGGAAGUGCAUCCGAAACUGGCGAGCUAGAGUACUAAAGAGGAUCGCGGAAUUCCCGGUGUAGAGGUGAAAUUCGUAGAUAUCGGGAGGAACACCGGUGGCGAAAGCGGCGAUCUGGGUAGAUACUGACGCUGAGGUGCGAAAGCGUGGGGAGCAAACAGG
rnacentral:rRNA from 1 species